GAUGAAGAACGCAGCGAAAUGCGAUAAGUAAUGUGAAUUGCAGAAUUCAGUGAAUCAUCGAAUCUUUGAACGCACAUUGCGCCCCCCAGUAUUCUGGCGGGCAUGCCUGUUCAAGCGUCAUUUCAACCAUCAAGCCCUGCUUGUGUUGGGGUCCUGCGGCUGCCCGCAGGCCCUGAAAACCAGUGGCGGGCUCGCUAGUCACACCGAGCGCAGUAGCACAUCUCGCUCAGGGCGUGCGGCGGGCUCCAGCCGUUAAAGCACCCACCUUUCGCAAGGUUGACCUCGGAUCAGGUAGGAAUACCCGCUGAACUUAAGCAUAUCAAUAAGCGGAGGA
rnacentral:misc_RNA from 1 species